UCCCUGGUGGUACAGUCGUUAGUACUCGGCACUUUCACUGCCAAGGGCCCCAGGUUCAAUCCCUGGUCAGGGAA